rnacentral:rRNA from 1 species
UACGUAGGGAGCGAGCGUUAUCCGGAAUUAUUGGGUGUAAAGCGUGUGUAGGCGGUUAAAUAAGUCUAAGGUUUAAGCCUGGAGCUCAACUCCAGAUCGCCUUAGAAACUGUAUAACUUGAGUAUGGUAGAGGUAAACGGAAUUUCUAGUGUAGCGGUAAAAUGCGUAGAUAUUAGAAGGAACACCAGUGGCGAAGGCGGUUUACUGGGCCACCACUGACGCUGAGACACGAAAGCGUGGGGAGCAAAUAGG